rnacentral:rRNA from 1 species
AACCUUUAGCUAAACAAAUAUUAAAGGCAACGCCUGCCCAGUGAAUAAUUAAACGGCCGCGGUAUCCUAACCGUGCAAAGGUAGCGCAAUCACUUGUCUACUAACUAUAGACCUGUAUGAAAGGCAAAAUGAGGGUCCGACUGUCUCUUAUAAUAAAUCAAUUAAACUGAUCUACUAGUAAAAAAGCUAGAAUACCCACAUAAGACCAGAAGACCCUGUGAAGCUUAAACUAAACUAUUAAACCAAAUAAUAGCUACUUUCGGUUGGGGCGACCUUGGAAAAAAAAAGAACUUCCAACAAUGAUCUCAUUCACAUCAAACUUAGGCCUACAAGCCAACUAAAGACCCAGUAAAACUGAUAAACGAACUAAGUUACUCCAGGGAUAACAGCGCAAUCUUCUUUAAGAGCCCAUAUCAAAAAGAAGGUUUACGACCUCGAUGUUGGAUCAGGACAUCCUAACGGUGCAGCCGCUAUUAAGGGUUCGUUUGUUCAACGAUUAACAGUCCU